AUUGAACGCUAGCGGGAUGCUUUACACAUGCAAGUCGAACGAGUGGCGGACGGGUGAGUAAUAUAUAGGAACGUGCCCAGUAGCGGGGGAUCAAUACUCGAAAGAGUGGCUAAUACCGCAUAACAUUGGAGAGGACGAUAUCUGAUUAGCUAGUUGGUGGGGUAAAGGCGCACCAAGGCAACGAUCCGUAGCUGGUUUGAGAGGACGACCAUCCACACUGGGACUGAGACACGGCCCAGACUCCUACGGGAGGCAGCAGUGGGGAAUUUUGGACAAUGGGGGAAACCCGGAUCCAGCCAUCCCGCGUGUAUGAGAAGGCCUUCGGGUUGUAAAGUACUUUUGGCAGAGAAGCGGUAUCUGCAGAAUAAGCACCGGCUAACUACGUGCCAGCCGCCGCGGUAAUAC
rnacentral:rRNA from 1 species